CCACCGCCGCCACUCUACCAUCAUCAUCAUUAUCAUCAUCAGCAGUAGCAGUAGCAGCAGUAGCCGGGAGUCGGAGUAGUAGCCGUAACCGUAGCCGUAGCCGUGUCUCCUCCUCUGUCGCAGUCGCAGUCGUCGUCGCAGCCAGCGCAUCACUACCACUACCACAUUCACAUUCAUAACAUCACAAACCAACCACCAACAUCCACAUUCUUCGCUACCGUUGCCGCCGCUGCCACCAUCAUCAUCUCUACUACCACCACCACCACCACCGCCGCCGCCCGCCGACGACAAGAACAACAGUAACAGAAGCAGAAGCAGCAGCAGCAGCACAAGCAGCAGCAGCACCCACUCUCACACACAAACACACACAGUCGGGCGCACGGGAGUCUCUCCACUCACUCACGAAAAUUUCAAUAUCCAAAUCAAAGUCGAGUUCAAAUCGAAAACAGCCGCAACACCAGCAACAACGUAUAUCGCACAGCACAGCACGCGGAUAAUGAUAAAAAGAAAAUAACGAACGACGACGACGCCGCCGCCGACCGACACCGACCGACACACACGCCAAAUCCAAAACUCCAAGUCCAAGACCAGCACCCAGUCGAUAUCCGGAUCAGUCAGUAGUAGCAUCCCCAUCGAAAUAGUCAUCAAAGUUAACCCCCGGAAACAUAACGCGUAACUCGAGCCGUACAAACCUAAAAUAAAAUAAAAAAAUAUCAAAAAGAAAUAAAUAAGCUAAAGCGCUAAAAGAAUCACAUGAAUAAAAAUCCAACAAUUUAAACAAUUAUUAAAACAUUUCUCUUACCGGUCUUCGAAACUCUCGCAUUCUCUCUCCCUCUCUCGCUGUGGGGAGUAGUUUUCACUUUUUUGCGCGUGUGAUCCAAUCCAAUCAAAACUUUAAAGACACAAAAACAUAAAAAAAAAACUCUGAAAUCUUCAGUGUAUAUUCUCGCACCUUUCGCUCUACACAACACCACAACAACAAAUAGCCAUAAUUACAAGAUCCGCCACAACAACAACAACCACAACAACAAAAAAAUCUCCAAUAACAGAUAAACGAACAAAUAAAAUAUAA